GACGAACGCUGGCGGCGUGCUUAACACAUGCAAGUCGAACGAAGUGGCGAACGGGUGAGUCACGCGUAAUCAACCUGCCCUUCAGAGGGGGACAACAGUGGGAACCGACUGCUAAUACCGCAUACUGGAGGUGGGGUAUGCGUCUGAUUAGCUAGUGGGAGGGGUAACGGCCACACAGGGCGAGGAUCAGUAGCCGGUCGGAUAGGAUGAACGGCCACAUUGGGACUGAGACACGGCCCCGACUCCUACGGGAUGCAGCAGUGGGGAAUCGUCCGCAAUGGACGAAAGUCUGACGGAGCAACGCCGCGUGAGUGAUGACGGCCUUCGGGUUGUAAAGCUCUGUUAAUCGGGACGCGGUACCGGAAUAGAAAGCCACGGCUAACUACGUGCCAGCAGCCGCGGUAAUUC
rnacentral:rRNA from 1 species